rnacentral:rRNA from 1 species
ACCUGCGGAAGGAUCAUUGUCGUGACCCUGACCAAAACGGACCGUGAACAUGUUAUCCAUGCUGCCGAGUGAUGGGUCUUGCACCUGUCACUCGAGACAGGGUGCCAACCCUCUUCGGAGUUGAGGCACCCUAAAAGAACCCACGGCGCCCUAGGCGUCAAGGAAUACUGAUGCUUCCUUGCAUGGGAGUGGACCGGCUUGCCGGUUUCACCUUGUGCAAUGAUUAUAUGAUAGUCCACAUGACUCUCGGCAACGGAUAUCUUGGCUCUCGCAUCGAUGAAGAACGUAGCAAAAUGCGAUACCUGGUGUGAAUUGCAGAAUCCCGUGAACCAUCGAGUUUUUGAACGCAAGUUGCGCCCGAGGCCUUCUGGUCGAGGGCACGUCUGCCUGGGUGUCACGCCAAAAGGCACUUCACAACGUGUUGUGGAUGUGGUAUUUGGCUCCUUGUGUGUAGUCACAGAGGGCCUAAGUACGGGCUGCCGGUGUUGCCGAUCACAGCACAAGGUGGAUAGCGAAAGUUGUUCUCGGUGCUAUGUUUUGGACUUAACUCGGAUAUACCCUUGUCACCCAUGUACCGAAUAGUACAUUGCUCGGACCGCGACCCCAGGUCAGUCGGGACUACCCGCUGAAUUUAAGCAUAUCAAUAAGCGG